UCAGAGGGAGGCUCUAACCCACCAGGCUGCAGAAAGGACCCACAGGCCAGUGAUCAGGGGCUCGGCUCAGCGCGAAGGCAGGACAAUGGCCAGGGACAAUAUCUAUGAGAACAUGCCGAUGACGGAAGCUGCUCCCCAGCCCAAAGGAAACCCUCCCAAGACAUUGGUCCCUUGGCAGCACAGGGCACGGAGCAUCGUCACUGCUGUCCUUCUCCUCCUGGGUCUGGCCCUGGCCACAUCCCUCCUUGCUGUGACACUUUUAUGGGUCAAGACCAUCCAGCUCUACUCGUAUGAUAUUCCAGUCCUCCUCCACGCUGGCAAUACCUCCCAACUCUGUGUCAUCUGCCGAUUUCAUUAGCGCACUCCCCGUUUUUGU